rnacentral:lncRNA from 10 species
GACAUAUGGACAGGAAAUGGGCAAGACACGGGCCUUUCAGAGAAGAGAGACCAAAGAUGUUUGCAGAGAGGCAGGCUUUGCGCAACCUGUAAAGAAUGAGUAAGGUUUGAAUAGCAGCUACAACAAAUAUUGAUUGAGAGCCUGCUGUGUGCCAGACUGUGGGCCCGGCACUUGGAAUUUGGCCGUGAACCUAGCAGACACAGUGGCUGCCCAUUUACAUAGCGUGCAGUCGAGUGUGGGAGUUUACAGUCUAGCUGUGAAAUAAACCUGUAGGUUUAAUUAUGGUGGGAGCUCAGAGAGCGGGGUAGGAGACUGUCCUGGUCUGGGACCUCCACUGCUGAGGAAGGGUCACCUAAGCUGGGGCCUGCAGGAGGAGGGAGGAAAGGGGCCAGGAUGUUCCAGAGGAGGAAUAGCAAAUGUACACUCCAGAUAAGAAGGGCCUGGUGGAGAUUAGAAAGGGUGGAAAGAAGCCAUGUCACACUGUGUUUGCAACCACUCUCCCCCACACCCAACCUCACCUGUGACACAGAAUGGUCUGCCUGGGCCUCAGUCACAU